UGUAACCAACAAUAGCCUCUGAUCUGGAAGCUAAGCAGGGCUGUGCCUGUUUAGUACUUGGAUGGGAGACCAACUUGGAAGCUUUUCAUUAGUAAGAA
rnacentral:rRNA from 12 species